rnacentral:rRNA from 1 species
CAAGUCGAGCGAAUGGAUUAAGAGCUUGCUCUUAUGAAGUUAGCGGCGGACGGGUGAGUAACACGUGGGUAACCUACCCAUAAGACUGGGAUAACUCCGGGAAACCGGGGCUAAUACCGGAUAAUAUUUUGAACUGCAUAGUUCGAAAUUGAAAGGCGGCUUCGGCUGUCACUUAUGGAUGGACCCGCGUCGCAUUAGCUAGUUGGUGAGGUAACGGCUCACCAAGGCGACGAUGCGUAGCCGACCUGAGAGGGUGAUCGGCCACACUGGGACUGAGACACGGCCCAGACUCCUACGGGAGGCAGCAGUAGGGAAUCUUCCGCAAUGGACGAAAGUCUGACGGAGCAACGCCGCGUGAGUGAUGAAGGCUUUCGGGUCGUAAAACUCUGUUGUUAGGGAAGAACAAGUGCUAGUUGAAUAAGCUGGCACCUUGACGGUACCUAACCAGAAAGCCACGGCUAACUACGUGCCAGCAGCCGCGGUAAUACGUAGGUGGCAAGCGUUAUCCGGAAUUAUUGGGCGUAAAGCGCGCGCAGGUGGUUUCUUAAGUCUGAUGUGAAAGCCCACGGCUCAACCGUGGAGGGUCAUUGGAAACUGGGAGACUUGAGUGCAGAAGAGGAAAGUGGAAUUCCAUGUGUAGCGGUGAAAUGCGUAGAGAUAUGGAGGAACACCAGUGGCGAAGGCGACUUUCUGGUCUGUAACUGACACUGAGGCGCGAAAGCGUGGG